GGGUACAUGGUGUAGUUGGUUAUCACGCUCGCUUAGCAGUCGCUUAUAUAAUCAUGCGAGAGGUGUUGGGUUCAAUUCCCAAUGUAUCCA